rnacentral:rRNA from 1 species
UAGGGAAUCUUCCACAAUGGACGAAAGUCUGAUGGAGCAACGCCGCGUGAGUGAAGAAGGUUUUCGGAUCGUAAAACUCUGUUGUAAGGGAAGAACACGUACGAGAGUAACUGCUCGUACCUUGACGGUACCUUAUUAGAAAGCCACGGCUAACUACGUG